UUCUGAUGGGUAAAGAGAGAUUUAAUAUGGGGGACUAAACUGAAAUUGAAUGAUUCAAGGAAGGUUGAUGGUGAUUGUAUGGAAAAAAGAUCGAUAAUAUAUUGAUGUGAUCUCUCUUACACGUAUCCGAUCCGACAGUCCAUAGGAGAAUAAAUCAGUUCUGGGACCGACUGGAAAAAGGAUCCUCUCGUAAAACCCUAGUCCAUCUUCAAUUUCAGAUCCCAUCAGAUAGAGACGAUAUUGGUGAGUUGUUGUUUCCUUAGAACGUGAAUUAGAUAAGAAGAAGAACUGAUGCCAUCGAUUAACAGGGAUGAAGGGACUAGAUUCAAGGGUUAUUGGGUCUGUUGUGUGGAAGAAAAAAUGGGUUUUGUAGAGAUGUAGAUAUGGUAUGGUUGAUUGAGAAAGAUUGAGAAGAUGAUGUUGAGUCCGUGUGUAUGGUGAUGGUGAAAUGGGUUGUUAAACUGAUUCUGCGAUGAAGGUUAAUGGUGUUUGACUCAAGGAAGAGAUGGGUUCAGCAGGGGAGAGUCUUUUUUGUGUUGUGGGUGAUUUUUAAGAUGAACUAGGUGAAGAAUAGGGGUGAACAACGGAUAGAUUAAUGUUUGCAGGAAGAAGGCCUGAACCUGGACGGAAAAUGGCUGAGAAACAAACAGAACCCGGACGACGUAGAGUCCAAUGACCGAUCUCAGUGCAGAAUUGGUCCGAUUCAACUCAGUAAAACAGCCAAUAAGGUCGUUUUUUCUAUUGACUCGGCGAUUCAAGUGGAUUCGGUUCGACUCAGUAGGAAGGGCUUUUUAGACUUUUUAACACUUCCACCUAAGUGUUAACGCCUGCUAACUGUUGUUUCCCGUUUUUUUAAAUAAAACGAUCAAGGAAAAGGCAUUUUGACAAAUUUCUAAAAAACAGGGACAUUUUUUUUAAUAUAAUGUGAAAAGUAAGGGUACUUUAUCAAAAAGCCCAAUCAAAAGCCUUCUAAGAAAUUUCUUCUAGGGCUUCAAUUAAUAUUUCUUUCUAUACUACAAUGGGUUUCUGAGCAUAGCUUCAAACUUCUUAAAUCUGAUGUUAUAUCUGGUCUUCCAACUGCUAGCUUGCCUAUACCUCAGGGAAUUUAUGCUAAGUUGGCAAAUUUUCCUUCUAUUCAUGGACUAUGUAAGCACUUUACAAUUCCUUUUCUUGACAAUUGUUUUCUUUGUACUACCAUUGUUGCAUGCAAUUCUCGGAAGUUCAAGACAUUUAGCAGGUGGUCAAGUAUCAAUAACAUCACUAGUAAUGGGUUCUAUGCUUAAAGUAUUCUCACCAACUGAAGACCCAACUCUAUAUCUGAAAGUGACUCUCACUUCAACAUUCUUUGCUGGUGUAUUUCAGACAUCUUUGGAUCUACUUAGGUUAGGCUUCAUAAUCGAUUUCCUAUCGAAACCGACUUUAACCGUGUUCGUUGUAAGUCUACAACAGCUUAAGGGAAUGCUUGGAAUUACUCACUUUACUCCUAAGAUGCAAAUUGUCAAUGUACUGUCUUUUGUUUUUAGCACCACAAAAGAGGCAUACAUAUGGCUAGGA